GUGUCAGCAGCCGCGGUAAUACGGAGGGUGCAAGCGUUGUCCGGAUUUAUUGGGUUUAAAGGGUGCGUAGGCGGCCUUGUAAGUCAGUGGUGAAAGCCUCCAGCUCAACUGGAGAACUGCCAUUGAUACUGCAAGGCUUGAGUACAGACGAGGUUGGCGGAAUUGAUUGUGUAGCGGUGAAAUGCAUAGAUACAAUCAAGAACUCCGAUUGCGUAGGCAGCUAACUAGGCUGUAACUGACGCUGAGGCACGAAAGCGUGGGGAGCGAACAGGAUUAGAUACCCUCGUAGUCC
rnacentral:rRNA from 1 species